rnacentral:rRNA from 1 species
CCCUUAGAUGUUCUGGGCCGCACGCGUGCUACACUGAGUGGAUCAGCGGGUCAGGUUGCGCGAAAGUGUUUCCUAAUCUUGAAAUCCGCUCGUGAUGGGGAUUGACGGUUGCAAUUUUCUGUCAUGAACGAGGAAUACCUUGUAAGCGCGGGUCAUCAUCCCGCGCUGAAUACGUCCCUGUCCUUUGUACACACCGCCCGUCGCUCCUACCGAUUGAGUGGUCCGGUGAGGCUUUGGGAUCUGAGCGGAAAGAGCGUUUCGCUGUUUCUGCUCGGAAAACUCAGUCGAACCUUAUCAUUUAGAGGAAGGAGAAGUCGUAACA